rnacentral:rRNA from 1 species
GAUGAACGAGGGAGGCGUGCCUAAUACAUGCAAGUCGAGCGAACAGACGAGGAGCUUGCUCCUCUGACGUUAGCGGCGGACGGGUGAGUAACACGUGGAUAACCUACCUAUAAGACUGGGAUAACUUCGGGAAACCGGAGCUAAUACCGGAUAACAUGUUGAACCGCAUGGUUCAACAGUGAAAGACGGUUUUGCUGUCACUUAUAGAUGGAUCCGCGUCGCAUUAGCUAGUUGGUAAGGUAACGGCUUACCAAGGCAACGAUGCGUAGCCGACCUGAGAGGAUGAUCGGCCACACUGGAACUGAGACACGGUCCCGCCUCCUACGGGAGGCAGCAGUCGGGCAUCUUCCGCAAUGAGCGAAAGCCUGAAGGAGAAACGCCGCGUGAGUGAAGAAGGUCUUCGGCUCGUAAAACUCUGUUAUUAGGGAAGUACAAAUCUGUAAGUAACUAUGCACGUCUUACCGUUCCCUAAUCAGAAAGCCCCGCCAAACUACGUG